AGGGACUCAGGGCCGUUCCACCCUCUCACUAUUCCUCUGUAGUUUUCACGAUCUUCCACCUUCCUCUGCUCUUUCACUCAACUGAACAACAAUCACCAAAAAUCACUUCUCUCCAUCUCGAAUUCUAAACGCACAACCAAUAAAAUCUCCUCACAAUCGCUCUCUCUCUCGGAUAAGCUUCCCCUCUCUCUCGAUUUUCUCUCGCUAACGACUCUCUCUCGCUCAAAAUAUGAACAACAAAGGAAUCAUGAACAACAAAAUUAAACCAACUAACCUGGCAUUAAUAUUCUCAAACGCGAACCCUACUUAGUGGAGCAAUCAACUUACCAUUAUCAACAAUCAAAAGAAAACGCAAUGUUGAGAUUAACGGUUACCGAUCCAGCGACGACUUCGGUUGCGAGGUUAUUGUGUUCGAUCUGCAGGUUUCUGAUGCGUUGAAGUUUGAAGUUGCGUGAAGAGUGUGUUGAACGAAUUGUUAUGAGGAUGAUAUUUGCAAGUUCUGCUGCGAAGACUUAUGAGGUUGAAAGUGGUGCGAUGAACGAUUGCUGAAUAGUGACACUGAGUUGGUGUGAUUUGCAGGUGAGUUCGAUUUGUUGUUGAUUUUGGUGAUGUUUACGAUUAUGCAGGUUCAAUAAAGUUUCUUGGAUCUGAUAUGAAGUAGGAGCAGUCGCACGACGCAGACGAGUGGGCACGGAACAGCAACUCAUACCCUUCCGCAAUCGCUCAUGAGUCACAAUUUCGACGAAUCUUCUCAGCCUCCAGAUAUACUUAGAUAUAUUACAAUCCAGAGUAGUCAGGCAUCAUGACCACAAUUAUGUUUCUUUGAGGGCUCAUAGAAGAAAUUAAUUUAUUUUGUGUUAAAGUAUAUUUUGAAUUUAAUAUAUGGGUGUUUAGUGUAAAUCUGUAACAAGGAUUUAAGAACGUCAAAGAAAUAAAGUAAUAUUUAUGUAUUAUUAAUCUUUAUCCAACUAAUUUCUAGCAUCUUUAUUCUUAGUUUUAAUACUGACAUGAAAAACUAAAAAUUAUUAUACCAUUAGUUUAAGUUUUAAUACUUACAUAAAUUUUUUUAGUUAAAGUUAUUGAUGUUGAUUUUUUAGUUUGGAAAGUGUUUAAACUUAGUUUCAAAACUAAAAAUUAUUCUACCUUAAAAAAUAAUCUAUCUAAAAUUAUUGAUGUGGAUUUCUUAAUUAGAAUAUGUUUAUAGUUGGAUUUCUUAGUUACAAAAUUAUUUUGAAGGUCUACUGAAUGAGAUAAUUUUACUUAGUUAGGAUUUAUUAGUCACUAAAUUAUCUCUGGAUUUCUUGGCUCCAAUUGAUGAGAGUGAUGAUGUGGAUUUGUACCUGUUGAACAAGAUUGUGAGUUGGUGGAACUUAAUAGUAAUGUGUUAGUGGAAAUAAAAAACAUUAAUAAAAGGCAGAAAUCUCAUGUGUGGAAGUUUUUUUUACUACGAUAGAAGGGUUGGAUAGUCGGGGGGUUGGACAGUGUGGAAGGCAAAAAGCAAAAUGCAAUGCAUGUGGUACGUCAUAUGUGUGCGGAGGAAAACGAUAUGGGACAACUUAAUUUUGGAGAUGUUGGUUAGAUGAUGUAAGACCUGCAAGGAAAGUUAAAAUCAUUAAAGGUUGAUAAUUUGGUGUCUCGUGAAUUGUGUGCUCGACUAAUUAUCAAGUGAGAUCUUCCUUUUAAAUUUGCUGAGUUUGAAGAGGUUACAACUUGGCUUCAGUACUUGAAUCUUGAUUACAUUCCUAUCACAAGAAAUACCGCCAAGGCCGAUGAUGUGAGAAUAUACAAAAGGAAAAAGGAAAAAAAUAAGAUAAAAAGGGCCAACACUUGUAGGAUUUCUUUAACUUCUGAUUUAUGGACAUCAAUUAAUAUUGUGGGCUAAAUUACCUUAACUACUGGUUAUGUUGAUAAAAAUUGGAAGUUAAAUAGUACAAUUCCCAACUUUUGUGACACGUCUCCUUUUCACACUGACUUUUAGUUUUUUAAAAGAAUAUAUGAGUUUCUGACUCAUUGGGAAAUAGAAAAAAAGGUUUUUUACCAUUACUUUGGAUAAUGCUUCUGCUAAUGGUGUCAUGCAAGAAGGACACAUAUAUUCUUUUACACAACUCAAAACCAGUGUGAGGAGGAGACAUGUGACAAAAGUUGAGGAAUUUACUAUUUAACUUUCAAUUUUUAUCAACAUAAUGAGCAGUUAAAGUAAUAUAAUCAUCGGUAUUAAUUAAUGUCCAUAAAUCCGAAGUUAAAAAAAUCCUAUAAGGAGUGUUGGCCAUUUCUAUCUUAAUUUAUUCCUUUUCCUUUUUGUAUAUUUUCACAACAUCUGCCAAGGCAGUAUUUCUGGUGAUAGGAAUGUAAUCAGGAUUCAAAUGCUGAAGCCAAGCUGUAAGCUCUUCAAACUCAGCAAAUUUAAAAGGAAGAUUCCGCUUGAUAAUUAGUCGGGCACACAUUUCACGAGACACCAAAUUAUCAAUCUUUAAUGAUUUUAGCUUUCCUUGCAUGUCUAACAUCAUCUGACUAACAUCUCCAAAAUUAACUUUCUUACAAAUUUCAAGAUGACGUUUUAGAGAAGUUGUUCCAUAUUGUUUUCCUCCACACGCAUAUGACGUACCACAUGCAUUGCAUUUUGCUCUUUGCCUUUCUUCACUAUCCAACCCUUCUAUCAUAGUAAAAAACCUUUCACACCUGAGCUUUCUGCCUUUUAUUAGUGUUCUUUAUUUUUCUAGCUUCCACUAACACAUUACAAAUUAGGUUUCACCGACUCACAAUCUUGUUCAACAGUUAGGUCCAAAUCCACAUCAUCACUCUCAUCAAUUGAAGCAAAGAAAUUCAUAUUCCAAAAUAAGUCCUAAAAUGCAAUAAACAUAAACGGAGAUAAUUUAGUAACUAUUAAAUCUAAACAAAGUAAAAUAAUUUCAUUCAAUAACUAAGAUAUCCAAAUUAAGACCUUCAAAAUAAUUUUAUAAGUAAGAUAUCCAACUAUAAACAUAUUCUAAAUUAAGAAAUCCACAUCAGUAACUUUAGGUAGAAUAUUUUUGAAGGUAGAAUAAUUUUUAGUUUUGAAACUUAACAUAUUCCACAUUAGUAACUAACUUUAAACAUAUUCCAAACUAAUAAAUCAACAUUAAUAACUUUAACUAAAAAAAUCUCAUGUAAGUAUUGAAACUUAAACUAAUGGUAGAAUAAUUUUUAGUUUUUCAUGUCAGUAUUGAAACUAAGGAUAAAGAUGAUAGAAAUUAGUUGGAUAAAGAUUCAAUAAUACAUAAAUAUUGUUAUAUCUCUUUGAAGUUUUUGAAUCCUUGUUACAGAUUUACAAUAAACAACACUAUGUUAAAUUCAAAAUAUACUUUAACUCGAAAUAAAUUAAUUUCUUUUAUGAGCCUUCAAAGAAACAUAAUUGUGGCCAUGAUGCCUGAGUGCUAUGGAUCGUAAUAUAUCUAAGUAUAUCCUUGAUGAAAUAAGGAUGGAACGUGAAAGAUAUGCAUUAUACAAGGAGAUCUUGUUGUCACAGUAGUUUGAUUAUCAUGUAAAAAUGUGAUACUUUUAAGCCCUUUUCUAGGCUUUUGAGUAAAAUAGCUUAUGUAAAUAAGUGAUUUUGGAAAAUGUGAAUAUUUGGUUUUUUUAAUGUGUUUUCUAGUGCUUCAGUGUUUGGUAAUCGCAAAAGUGCAAAAAAGCCGAAGAAUCAUAGAUUUGUGUCACGUGGGCUUCUAAGUGGGCUUCGCCCGGCCAAAGGAAGUAGCCACCCAGCGAAUCUGGGCAAAUUGGCCAUGCUUUUAGAGUACUUUGUAGAUAUUUUAUGAAUUACAUCUUUUGUUUCUCUCUCUUGACCAAAAAUACACCAUUUUGUGUGCAAAAACCCUAAUUCCUCCAUUGCUAACCAAAAUCAUAGCUUUCAACCAUCAAUCUUUGAAACUUCAAGUUUGAUGUUCAUUAAGCUUGAUUGUUUACUUGUUGCUCAAGUCACCAUGGAAAUGGGUGGUUAAAUCCUUCUUGGUGUCAAGAUUAGAGGUAGAUAAUAUUUCUUGUAGUAUGUGUUUCUUUUGAUACUUUGUAUGUGAACAAGUGAUGAUUAAUAUAUGUUGAAAAACCUUGUGUUUAUAUGUA